rnacentral:pre_miRNA from 1 species
CUUUACAUUGCCAGGUUUAUUACGUGUAAUAACGAAGACUAGUGGUCUUCAGGAUGAAUUUCUUGGAAUAAUACGUGUAUUCGGCAAUCUUACACGGCAUACAGCAAUAAGGCAAUGGUUAG